UACGAAGGGGGCUAGCGUUGCUCGGAAUCACUGGGCGUAAAGGGUGCGUAGGCGGGUCUUUAAGUCAGGGGUGAAAUCCUGGAGCUCAACUCCAGAACUGCCUUUGAUACUGAGGAUCUUGAGUCCGGGAGAGGUGAGUGGAACUGCGAGUGUAGAGGUGAAAUUCGUAGAUAUUCGGAAGAACACCAGUGGCGAAGGCGACACACUGGCCCGUUACUGACGCUGAGGCGCGAAAGCGUGGGGAGCAAACGGG
rnacentral:rRNA from 1 species